rnacentral:tRNA from 1 species
CAAAAUGUAGCUUAAAUGAAGCAUCUCGCUUACACCGAGAAGAUACCCGCGAAAUCCGAGUCAUUUUGA